CUCAUAGGAUCAAUCCCAAUGACGGACAUCAGAGAUUUGUUGUCUUUACACGUGUAAUUCACCCGCCCAAAUGAUUUAGUACAGAUACGGCAGUGAGUGUCAAGGUAUCUCUGGUGUUUUGUAGUCAUGCUAAAUGAUGGUGAAUGAUGAUACAGCAGACCACAGAACAAGACCACUAUCGUAGUUUUUGAAUAGCACUGUUGAUGCAGCUGAUGCGCAGUACUACACUAUACUGUUUAUCUAUGCGCAGUGCAGUUUUAUUGCUUCUACAUGUUAAUAUUAUAUACUGUGUGUGCUAAAAUAAGUGUAUUCAUGAUGUAAUGUGUUACUAUUUUGAUAACAAAGAAUCUAUACAAACAGGAA